GUCUAUGGCCAUGCCACUCUGAACAAGCCUGAUCCCAUCUGAUCUCGGAAGCUAAGCAGGGUUGGGCCUGGUUAGUACUUGGAUGGGAGACCACCUAGGAAGACCAGGUGCUGUAGGCG
rfam:Pteropus alecto contig95958, whole genome shotgun sequence.